rnacentral:sRNA from 1 species
UCGUUGCCGAAGAAGACUCCGGGGCCGC